ACUAUUUUAUUUUAAAAAGAAUUUUUAAUUUGUAAUUAAAAGGUUUAAAGUAGUA
rnacentral:tRNA from 1 species